GAGGCAGGGUAGCCUAGUGGUUAGAGUGUAGAGGUGGCAGGGUAGCCUAGUGGUUAGAGUGUAGGGGCGGCAGCGUAGCCUAGUGGUUAGAGCAUUGGACUAGUAACCGAAAGGUUGCAAGUUCAAACCCCCGAGCUGACAAGGUACAAAUCUGUGGUUCUGCCCCUGAACAGGCAGUUAACCCCUAGGCCGUCAUUGAAAAUAAGAAUUUGUUCUUAAACUGACUUGCCUUGUUAAAUAAAUAAAAUCGAGGAUUCAUAUCAUUUAAUAUAUGUUCCUGUUUUGAUAUGCGUUUAUAGUUAUAUUGGACAUGUUAUCCGUUAUCACAUGCCAGUAUGUGUUUUGUAUCCAGUAGCUCACAUUAGGAUGAAGUAGCCUAGUUCUUCUGAUGCCUAGUUCUUCUGAUGCCUAGUUCUUCUGAUGCCUAGUUCUUCUGAUGCCUAGUUCUUCUGAUGCCUAGGCCUUCUGAUGCCUAGUUCUUCUGAUGCCUAGUUCUUCUGAUGCCUAGUUCUUCUGAUGCCUAGUUCUUCUGAUGCCUAGUUCUUCUGAUGCCUAGUUCUUCUGAUCUAGUCAGAUUGCAUCAUAUCACCUUUCAAUACUAGUAAUCAACUAAUAUAGAAGUUAUCUUGAACAAUUGUUGUCAUUUUAAUAAUAUGCACAGGUUGGGUAUUCGUAAGAAUGAAUCACAAUGCAAGCCUACUCAUUACAAAAAUACUAUAUUAUUUUCACAGUGAAACACCGCUAUUCUGGCUAUUAAUCAUUCUAAAUACGGUCAGUAAAAUAGCUAAAUAACAUAUCUAAAAACAUGUAUAGGCAAUAUGAUAUCAUGCAAGUUUGCCUGUUAAAGUCUACAACUCUUGUAUUCGGUGCAUGUGAUUAAAUUUGAGGAUGUAGCAGCAGACGAGGCAACACAGAGGACACAGAGGAGGAACUUCAUAACUUCAUAUCAUACAAUCAUUAUUCUGGUCGGUGUCAACUUCCUCAUUUAACAGGGACUGAAGAGAUUGACUGUUACUUGAUGUUUGUGUCUUUUGGUGUAGUUGAUCACUGAAUUCCUAACAGUAGUUACUCACGCUGGUACAGUGUGGCUACCAACGUCUCGCGCUCGGUGGGAUCUGUUAUCACAUGAUGCUGCCUUCGAAUCGCAUCCCAAGUGUCAGUAACCUACUGGAAAAGUGUUACCGACUAAGGUAGCAGCCUCUGGAGGUAGACAGGGAGACGGCAGUCUCUGGAGGUAGACAGGGAGACGGCGGUCUCUGGAGGUAGACAGGGAGACGGCAGUCUCUGGAGGUAGACAGGGAGACUGCAGUCUUUGGAGGUAGACAGGGAGACGGCAGUCUCUGGAGGUAGACAGGGAGACGGCAGUCUUUGGAGGUAGACAGGGAGACGGCAGUCUCUGGAGACAGGGAGACGGCAGUCUUUGGAGGUAGACAGGGAGACGGCAGUCUCUGGAGGUAGACAGGGAGACGGCAGUCUCUGGAGGUAGACAGGGAGACGGCAGUCUCUGGAGGUAGACAGGGAGACGGCAGUCUCUGGAGGUAGACAGGGAGACGGCAGUCUUUGGAGGUAGACAGGGAGACGGCAGUCUUUGGAGGUAGACAGGGAGACGGCAGUCUCUGGAGGUAGACAGGGAGACGGCAGUCUCUGGAGGUAGACAGGGAGACGGCAGUCUUUGGAGGUAGACAGGGAGACGGCAGUCUCUGGAGGUAGACAGGGAGACGGCAGUCUCUGGAGGUAGACAGGGAGACGGCAGUCUCUGGAGGUAGACAGGGAGACGGCAGUCUUUGGAGGUAGACAGGGAGACGGCAGUCUCUGGAGGUAGACAGGGAGACGGCAGUCUUUGGAGGUAGACAGGGAGACGGCAGUCUCUGGAGGUAGACAGGGAGACGGCAGUCUCUGGAGGUAGACAGGGAGACGGCAGUCUUUGGAGGUAGACAGGGAGACGGCAGUCUUUGGAGGUAGACAGGGAGACGGCAGUCUCUGGAGGUAGACAGGGAGACGGCAGUCUCUGGAGGUAGACAGGGAGACGGCAGUCUUUGGAGGUAGACAGGGAGACGGCAGUCUUUGGAGGUAGACAGGGAGACGGCAGUCUCUGGAGGUAGACAGGGAGACGGCAGUCUCUGGAGGUAGACAGGGAGACGGCAGUCUUUGGAGGUAGACAGGGAGACGGCAGUCUUUGGAGGUAGACAGGGAGACGGCAGUCUUUGGAGGGAGACAGGGAGACGGCAGUCUUUGGAGGGAGACGGCAGCCUGUGGAAGUAGACAGGGAGACGGCAGCCUUUGGAGGCAGGGAGACGGCAGUCUUUGGAGGUAGACAGGGAGACGGCA